rnacentral:rRNA from 1 species
UGAUCCUGCCAGUAGUCAUACGCUUGUCUCAAAGAUUAAGCCAUGCACCUCUUAGUAUAAACAAUUUAUACUGUGAAACUGCGAAUGGCUCAUUAUAUCAGUUAUAGUUUAUUUGAUAGUAUUUUACUACUUGGAUAACCGUAGUAAUUCUAGAGCUAAUACAUGCGUUAAUUCCCAACUGCUUGCGCGGACGGGAUGUAUUUAUUAGAUAGAAACCAAACCCCUUUCGGGCGGUAUUGUGGUGAAUCAUAAUAAAUUUGCGAAUCGUAUGCCCUUGUGGGGCCGAUGAAUCAUUCAAGUUUCUGCCCUAUCAGCUGUCGAGGGUAGGGUAUUGGCCUACCCUGGCAUUAACGGGUGACGGAGAAUUAGGGUUCGAUUCCGGGGAGGGAGCCCGAGAGAGGGCUACCACAUCCAAG